GUUUUUGUUACGACGAUUUACAUUCAUUACACUAAAAGUUUUUGGCGUUUUGAGCCUGGGGGCCCGAGAGCCCCAAGACGUACAGUUCACGGUGUUGUGAGUGGAAUAGACACGGCCAGAGGCCAAUCUCUAAUGAUCCUUCCGCAGGUUCACCUACGGAAA
rnacentral:misc_RNA from 1 species